ACCUGCGGAAGGAUCAUUGUCGAACCCUGCACAGCAGAACGACCCGUGAACACGUAACUACAAUCGGGCAUCGGGGGUACGGCUCACGCUUGCGACCCUUGGUGCCCUGCCGAUGUGCGUGCAUGGUGCCCCAAAUGGGGCGUUAUGGACGUAUUGUCGGCACCAAAACCAACCCCGGCACGGCAUGUGCCAAGGAAAACAAAACUUAAGAAGGGCUCGUUUCGUGUUGCCCCGUUCGCGGUGCGCGCACGGUCGUGUCUCUUUUGUAAUCACAAACGACUCUCGGCAACGGAUAUCUCGGCUCACGCAUCGAUGAAGAACGUAGCAAAAUGCGAUACUUGGUGUGAAUUGCAGAAUCCCGUGAACCAUCGAGUUUUUGAACGCAAGUUGCGCCCGAAGCCAUUCGGCCGAGGGCACGUCUGCCUGGGCGUCACGCAUCGCGUCGCCCCCUCCUCCCCUUCCCAUUGGGAAAUGGUGUGUUGGGGGCGGAAAUUGGUUUCCCGUGCUUGCGGCGCGGUUAUCCGAAAUAGGAGUCCCCUUCGGUGGACGCACGGCUAGUGGUGGUUGAUAAUAAGACCCUCGUCUGGUGUCGUGCGUUGUGAGCCGCAAGGGAAGCCUCUUCAUAGACCCCAACGCGUCGUCUCAAGACGAYGCUUCGACCGCGACCCCAGGU
rnacentral:rRNA from 1 species